UAAAUUUUUAACUUGUAGCAGCUAAUUCGUUCGUUUAUACCGUCAAUAACUAUAAAAAUCCAGAUAAAUCUCUCACUAAAAUGUUCUUUUGCACAUUCAUCAGGGUGCUGGUUUCGAUCAGCAAAUUAACAACAGGACAGGUGUUAACUAAAGGUUGAUAUUAUAUGUAUGAAAGUGCUAUUUCAACUAAUAAAAAGGAAAGCAUUAAUCAGAAAAAAAAUCAUCAGCUUCCCGGACAAUACAUGUGCCACUCCCAAGCACUGUGGGAGCUGGGAACAUGGGUUUACACCGAGAUGCUUCUGCAGCAACAGGAGAGCCGAGGCAACGUCUCCACAGUACCACACCUCACCUGCAGAAAGCAAAGCCACCAAUUCAGAAUCUGAAUUUUCAGAUUGUUUUUUUUUCUGAAACAACCAGGACUCUUUGUGUGUUGAAAUAGAAAUCAUUCGGAUCCAGAGGCUUAUCAGAUUUUGUCUCUGAAGUUUACCACAUGUAAUCAUGCUUGUCAUGGAAAUGGGAUAAUAAUACAAGAGUGAACAAUUAAUAAUGAUGGUACUGAUUUUGCAUAUCGUUUAGUAUUCGUAAACAUUAUGAAAGAGUAUCCAAUUGCAAUGCAUGGCUAUAAUCAUUAUAUAACGUUAGAUCCCGCCCUGUUAUAGAAGAGACGCUCAUUCCUUUCCAGUUUUCUGCAGUGCAAUCAGACUUUAUUUUCAUGUCUAGCCUGAUCGAGACUCUAGCACAGCAUGCCGACAGGUGUCUUCCAAUUUUUCUCUGCCUCUUCUUUAUUGAUAGGGUUCGCUGUUGGGAAUCACUCCCUAGCUAGAAACACUUGCACACACUCCUGAUGAACACACACCAGGGGGCGAAGAACACUGGAGUUUGGUGCUGCACAAACGCAACCUUUUUCACUUUUUUUUGACUCAAUUAAACAAGAUGCUAAGUACAUGCUUAAAUAGGCAUUAGAGACCAGGACGUGAGCCACUAGCAGCCACAUGCCACGUUCACGACUACACGAUCGACUAGUGCAUCCAUGCACACCUACUAAUUAGCUAAGAUCCUAAUGACCCGGCCAUUAUGCUAAUGACUCAACUACCCAGCCACUGUAUUGCUUGCUUGCUACGUUCCAUGCCACAAAACCGAUCACCCAGCCAUCUCAGCCACUUCAGUCAAGGUGCAUGACGUGCUCCUGCAGCAUCUCGCACGUACCCGGCCGUCUCGCACGGCUUCUCGGCCAUCUUCGCGUACACAUCUCGCGUACGACCACAAGCUUCUUUGGGCACCACGUGCUGCUACCUAUACAUUUAUUUUUCACAUGCAACCAAAAUAAACAUGCUAAUGCUAAUGACAAGAUUAUUUCUAACAUUCGGAAUACUGAUAACAGUGCUCAACAUGCUUGAUACUGACAACAGUAAGAAAAACACCGGGGAUAGCAAUGGGUCGGCUCGAGUACGAAUAUAGUAAAUCAUUGCUCUUGAAAGAUUUGUAUUAGUGAAUUGAGUUUAGCACACGGUGUAGCACGCACGGUUCUUGUUCCUGUUACCAAUCUGAAUAUCCUCGCAGAAUACUCAAAUAUCGAGUUUGGUCGUCGUCGUCGGCGG
rnacentral:lncRNA from 1 species